rnacentral:rRNA from 1 species
AGACCCCGUGAACCUUUACUAUAGCUUGACACUGAACAUUGAGCCUUGAUGUGUAGGAUAGGUGGGAGGCUUUGAAGUGUGGACGCCAGUCUGCAUGGAGCCGACCUUGAAAUACCACCCUUUAAUGUUUGAUGUUCUAACGUUGACCCGUAAUCCGGGUUGCGGACAGUGUCUGGUGGGUAGUUUGACUGGGGCGGUCUCCUCCUAAAGAGUAACGGAGGAGCACGAAGGUUGGCUAAUCCUGGUCGGACAUCAGGAGGUUAGUGCAAUGGCAUAAGCCAGCUUGACUGCGAGCGUGACGGCGCGAGCAGGUGCGAAAGCAGGUCAUAGUGAUCCGGUGGUUCUGAAUGGAAGGGCCAUCGCUCAACGGAUAAAAGGUACUCCGGGGAUAACAGGCUGAUACCGCCCAAGAGUUCAUAUCGACGGCGGUGUUUGGCACCUCGAUGUCGGCUCAUCACAUCCUGGGGCUGAAGUAGGUCCCAAGGGUAUGGCUGUUCGCCAUUUAAAGUGGUACGCGAGCUGGGUUUAGAACGUCGUGAGACAGUUCGGUCCCUAUCUGCCGUGGGCGCUGGAGAACUGAGGGGGGCUGCUCCUAGUACGAGAGGACCGGAGUGGACGCAUCACUGGUGUUCGGGUUGUCAUGCCAAUGGCACUGCCCGGUAGCUAAAUGCGGAAGAGAUAAGUGCUGAAAGCAUCUAAGCACGAAACUUGCCCCGAGAUGAGUUCUCCCUGACUCCUUGAGAGUCCUGAAGGAACGUUGAAGACGACGACGUUGAUAGGCCGGGUGUGUAAGCGCAGCGAUGCGUUGAGCUAACCGGUACUAAUGAACCGUGAGG